rnacentral:rRNA from 1 species
GACGAACGCUGGCGGCGUGCUUAACACAUGCAAGUCGAACGCUGAAGCACCAGCUUGCUGGUGUGGAUGAGUGGCGAACGGGUGAGUAAUACGUGAGUAACCUGCCCUUGACUCUGGGAUAAGCCCGGGAAACUGGGUCUAAUACUGGAUGCUACAUGUCACCGCAUGGUGGUGUGUGGAAAGGGUUUACUGGUCUUGGAUGGGCUCACGGCCUAUCAGCUUGUUGGUGAGGUAAUGGCUCACCAAGGCGACGACGGGUAGCCGGCCUGAGAGGGUGACCGGCCACACUGGGACUGAGACACGGCCCAGACUCCUACGGGAGGCAGCAGUGGGGAAUAUUGCACAAGGGGCGAAAGCCUGAUGCAGCGACGCCGCGGGAGGGAUGACGGCCUUCGGGUUGGAAACCUCGUUCAGCAGGGAAGAAGCCACAAGUGACGGUACCUGCAGAAGAAGCGCCGGCUAACUACGUG